CCUACGGGUGACAGCAGUGGGGAAUCUUGCGCAAUGGGCGAAAGCCUGAUGCAGCGACGCCGCGUGAGGGAUGAAGGUCUUCGGAUCGUAAACUUCUGUCAGCAGGGAAGAACGGUCACUGUGCUAAUCAGUAGUGAAUUGACGGCACCUGCCAAGGAAGCACCGGCUAACUCCGUGCCAGCAGCCGCGGUAAUAUGGCGGGGGCGAGGGAUAAGCGGAAUUACUGGGCAAAAAGCGGUCGUAGGAGGAAUGUCAGGUCAAAGGUGAAAUCUGCGCGCUCAACAUUGCAACUGCCUUUUAAACUGGCAAGCUGGAGUGUGUGAGAGGAUACUGGAAUUUCAGGUGUAGGAGUGAAAUCCGUAGAUAUCUGGAGGAACAUCAGUGGCGAAGGCGACUAUCUGGCACACAACUGACGCUGAGGAGCGAAAGCGUGGGUAGCAAACAGGAUUAGAUACCCGAGUAGUC
rnacentral:rRNA from 1 species